GACGAACGCUGGCGGCGUGCUUAACACAUGCAAGUCGAACGGUAAGGCCCUUCGGGGUACACGAGUGGCGAACGGGUGAGUAACACGUGGGUGAUCUGCCCUGCACUUCGGGAUAAGCCUGGGAAACUGGGUCUAAUACCGGAUAGGACUCCGGACUGCAUGGUCUGGGGUGGAAAGCUUUUGCGGUGUGGGAUGGGCCCGGGGCCUAUCAGCUUGUUGGUGGGGGUAUGGCCUACCAAGGCGACGACGGGUAGCCGGCCUGAGAGGGUGACCGGCCACACUGGGACUGAGAUACGGCCCAGACUCCUACGGGAGGCAGCAGUGGGGAAUAUUGCACAAUGGGCGCAAGCCUGAUGCAGCGACGCCGCGUGAGGGAUGACGGCCUUCGGGUUGUAAACCUCUUUCAGCAUCGACGAAGCGAAAGUGACGGUAGGUGCAGAAGAAGGACCGGCCAACUACGUGCCAGCCGCCGCCGUAA
rnacentral:rRNA from 1 species